ensembl:lncRNA
UCCUAUAAGCAUGCUCUGACUGAAAUCACUUUGGCUUAAUCAGUUUCCUACAGGUUAUUAUAAACAAAGAAACAAUAAUUAUAAACAAGGAAAAGAAAAACUGUUUUAGCAUACAGAUCAGUGAUGUUGCUUAUACUGCUCAGUUCCCCAUGAGCAUUUUGUCUUAGAAGGGAUUCUUAAACUUAAAAUAGCCAAUAAAAGCCUUUUCCCUGAACUAAAAGUACCUUAACUGUUUUCUGUACUAACAGACUGAACAGUAAGCAUAAAUGCAGCUGUUACAUCAGUUACAUAUCAGCCUGACAGGCCUAAGUAUAGCUAGUUCUGCUUGUCUUGCGAUUAAUCUCAAGUAAAAGUAGGUGACAGUAAUUGCCGUUGUUGGGAAAUGAGUUCUCCUGAGAAGAGAGCAGUUCUGUGAAUGCAUAAAAAUGUGGCAUAACAUGUAUUGAGAGCUUACUGUGUCAAGGCAAAAUUCCACAUUCAGAACUAGGGAGUGAAAUUAUGCAUCUAAUGAAAUAUACAUCUGAGGAAUCCCUUUAAAAUAUUCAGCCAAAGUCAACCCUAUCAUAUGUCUGGCAGAGGAAUUGUGCCUGGUAGUAAGCCCAUUAUAUCUAAGGGUUGUAUUCUAUAUUUUUGAUUAUGUGAUUUCAUCUGGAAUUAAGGCUAAGUAAAAUAAAACCAUCAUUAAAAAUGGUCUAGAUAAAUAACUUUUGUUGAGCUUAAUGACAUUGUCUUAAAUUCAUUACCUCUCAUCUUGCAAUAUGCAGAGUAAGACAUCAAUAUGUGGGAAUCCUCGUGAAGGUCUGUAGGCAAGCCAGGCUGCUGUGUUUCUGUUACAGUCAAUGGAAAACUACUCUUUGCUGUCUGUGGAGUUCAUAAAGAGAUUCAGCUCAGCAUAUGUAGGUGCAUCUUUUGCUGGAGGUGGAUGCUGCAACUUAACUUUUCUGAAGCAAUGAGAAAAUCAGUUAUAUAAUUUGUUGCAUAACAAGCUUUCCUGCAACUACCUUUCAAAAUAAUUUGUUGAGUGUUAAGGGUGAGCUGAAAUGGGUGAAUCAACGCACUUGUGAAAGGCCAACCAUUUUUGCGGUUUUAGUGUUAAAUCUAUGCCAUUGAAUGAAAUCUGAUCAUAUAAGUCAAUAAAAGACAUCUGUGAGACCUGAGCUCUAAAGCA